rnacentral:tRNA from 1 species
GAGGGUAUAGCUCAGUGGUAGAGUGCAUGCUUAACAUGCAUGAGGUCCUAGUUUCAAUCCCCAGUCCCUUCA